GGGCCUGUAGCUCAGUUGGUUAGAGCGCAUCCCUGAUAAGGAUGAGGUCGCUGGUUCAAAUCCAGCCAGGCCCACCA
rnacentral:tRNA from 1 species